rnacentral:rRNA from 1 species
GACGAACGCUGGCGGCGUGCUUAACACAUGCAAGUCGAACGGAAAGGCCCUGCUUUUGUGGGGUGCUCGAGUGGCGAACGGGUGAGUAACACGUGAGUAACCUGCCCUUGACUUUGGGAUAACUUCAGGAAACUGGGGCUAAUACCGGUUAGGAGCUCCUGCUGCAUGGUGGGGGUUGGAAAGUUUCGGCGGCUGGGGAUGGACUCGCGGCUUAUCAGCUUGUUGGUGGGGUAGUGGCUUACCAAGGCUUUGACGGGUAGCCGGCCUGAGAGGGUGAUCGGCCGCAUUGGGACUGAGAUACGGCCCAGACUCCUACGGGAGGAAGCAGUGGGGAAUAUUACACAAUGGGCGGAAGCCAGAUGAAGCAGCGCCACGAGCGGGAUGACGGCCUUCGGGUUGUAAACCGCUUUCGCCUGUGACGAAGCGUGAGUGACGGGAAUGGGUAAAGAAGCACCGGCUAACUACGUG